rnacentral:rRNA from 1 species
AAUAGAUACCCUGGUAGUCCACGCCGUAAACGAUGAGUGCUAAGUGUUAGAGGGUUUCCGCCCUUUAGUGCUGCAGCUAACGCAUUAAGCACUCCGCCUGGGGAGUACGGUCGCAAGACUGAAACUCAAAGGAAUUGACGGGGGCCCGCACAAGCGGUGGAGCAUGUGGUUUAAUUCGAAGCAACGCGAAGAACCUUACCAGAUCUUGACAUCCUCUGACAACUCUAGAGAUAGAGCGUUCCCCUUCGGGGGACAGAGUGACAGGUGGUGCAUGGUUGUCGUCAGCUCGUGUCGUGAGAUGUUGGGUUAAGUCCCGCAACGAGCGCAACCCUUGAUCUUAGUUGCCAGCAUUUAGUUGGGCACUCUAAGGUGACUGCCGGUGACAAACCGGAGGAAGGUGGGGAUGACGUCAAAUCAUCAUGCCCCUUAUGACCUGGGCUACACACGUGCUACAAUGGAUGGUACAAAGGGCUGCAAGACCGCGAGGUCAAGCCAAUCCCAUAAAACCAUUCUCAGUUCGGAUUGC